CGCUGGCGGCACGCUUAACACAUGCAAGUCGAACGCAGUAGCAAUACUGAGUGGCAGACGGGUGAGUAUAAUGUGGGAAUCUGCCUUUUGGUUCGGAAUAACUCGGGGAAACUUGAGCUAAUACCGGAUAAGCCCUUACGGGGAAAGAUUUAUCGCCGAAAGAUGAGCCCGCACUUGAUUAGCUUGUUGGUGAGGUAAAAGCUCACCAAGGCAACAAUCAAUAGCUGUUCUUAGAGGAAGACCAGCCACAUUGGGACUGAGACACGGCCCAGACUCCUACGGGAGGCAGCAGUGGGGAAUCUUGCACAAUGGGGGAAACCCUGAUGCAGCGAUGCCGCGUGAGUGAAGAAGGCCUUUGGGUUGUAAAACUCUUUCGUCGGGGAAGAAAAUGACUGUACCCGAAUAAGAAGGUCCGGCUAACUUCGUGCCAGCAGCCGCGGUAAUACGAAGGGACCUAGCGUAGUUCGGAAUUACUGGGCUUAAAGAGCUCGUAGGUGGUUAAAAAAGUUGGUGGUGAAAUCCCAAGGCUUAACCUUGGAACUGCCAUCAAAACUUUUUAGCUAGAGUGUGAUAGAGGAAAGUGGAAUUUCUAGUGUAGAGGUGAAAUUCGUAGAUAUUAGAAAGAACACCAAAUGCGAAGGCAACUUUCUGGAUCACUACUGACACUGAGGAGCGAAAGCAUGGGUAGCGAAGAGGAUUAGAUACCCUCGUAGUCCAUGCUGUAAACGAUGUGUGCUAGACGUUGGAAAUUUUAUUUUCAGUGUCGCAGCAAAAGCGUUAAGCACACCGCCUGGGGAGUACG
rnacentral:rRNA from 1 species